rnacentral:rRNA from 1 species
GAUGAACGCUAGCGGCAGGCUUAAUACAUGCAAGUCGAGGGGCAGCACGGUUAGCAAUAACUGGUGGCGACCGGCGCACGGGUGCGUAACACGUAUACAAUCUACCUUAAACAGGGGGAUAGCCUUUCGAAAGAGAGAUUAAUACCCCGUAAUAAAUUGAACGGCAUCGUUUGAUUUUUGAAAGCUCCGGCGGUUUGAGAUGAGUAUGCGUCUGAUUAGCUAGUUGGUGAGGUAACGGCUCACCAAGGCGACGAUCAGUAGGGGAUCUGAGAGGACUAACCCCCACACUGGUACUGAGACACGGACCAGACUCCUACGGGAGGCAGCAGUAAGGAAUAUUGGUCAAUGGAGGCAACUCUGAACCAGCCAUGCCGCGUGCAGGAUGACGGCCCUAUGGGUUGUAAACUGCUUUUAUACAAGAGAAAACCCUGGUACGUGUACCAGGUUGAUAGUAUUGUAAGAAUAAGCAUCGGCUAACUUCGUGCCAGCAGCCGCGGUAAU